ACCCGUUCACUGUUCCUCUUGCCACUGCUCACUGACCGUUUCACGCUAUUUUCCCAUUUGCAAAGCAGGAAAAUUAGCUCUACCUUAAAUGGGUGCUUCUGGGCACAGAAUGUUUAAUGGGCUCGUUUUCUUGUCUUUUAGGGUUGUUUAAGCCUGAGGUUAAAACAGCAUGGUGAUAAAGUCCACUAAUGUAUGAAAGGGAUUUGAAAGUUAAGUCUUCUAUAGAAGAUAAGCUAACAUGGGUCUCAGUCACGGCUGUGUAUCAGGAAGUAAAACCAGGCGAGCCUUGACCUUUAAAAGGAAGCACUACCCCUUUGUCCAAGUGCCUUAUAACAUGUCUUUAUAACUGGCUGUGUGAGAAUGAAGAAAAGCUGUCCAUCUUCUGAGAAGCCCACUUCUCCACCAAGGUGCUCAGUUUUAGGAGUGGAGAACAGGGGUCACGGAAAAUACAUUGCUCCCCAGCUCCCAGCUCUCUUUGCUUUCUCCCAGGAAGCAGCAUGUGCCAUCCUUCUGUCAGAAAACACCGCAGAGAUGAAGAAAUGAGAACUCCAGAAACCAAAGACCUUGCUCUUUUGUCAAACAGACUUGGUAGAGCAGAGUUGCAAAAUCAGACCUUCGGGGCUUGCGUGUUUCUCCUCUUACUCCCUGGUUGCUUCCCUGGAAGAUGGAGCUCCAUUCAAAAACUGCUACACAGAACCAGGCUGAGCAAGCCCAGGCCUUUCCUGUUGAGCAGCAGCAGAACUCUGAGCAGUUGGCUCUCCAUUGGUCCCUUCUGCAUGGCAGACUUACCUCUAGAAUAAUGUUCUUUUGAUAAAGAUAAAAGCUUGUUCCAAAGGCUUCUGUCCAUUCUUUUACAAAUUCAUUCAUUCGUCAAAUACUAACUGAUGUCACCAAAUGUAGGAACUAGAGAAGAAAAAUGAAUAGGCCACAGAGAUUCUUGUCAGAUGGAAAGGCCAAAAUAGAGAGAUGGUUAAAAUUCCACGUAGGACAAGUAUCAUGAUAGAGCAUCAUUAAUGAGACUGCUAAAAUUUAG
rnacentral:lncRNA from 1 species